rnacentral:lncRNA from 1 species
GAAGAGCCCUUAGCUCAGGUGUAUUUUGCCACUGAUUCAGACUCAGUGACUCUGUUGCCAGCCCGUCAGGUUCUGCCGGCUACUCAGUUUUGGUUUCUAUUUCAAACUUGUGGUGGACGUCUAUUGUUUGUCUUUGUUGUCUGUGUCAUUACUUUCACUGUUUGCAUAUCCCUCAUUAUGGGACAAGGUACCUCAACUCCCCUGUCUUUGACCCUUGAUCAUUGGACUAAAGUCCACUCAAGGGCCCAGAAUCUCUCUUUUUCAGUGAAACGCCGGACCUGGCAGACUCUCUGUACAUCAGAAUGGCCCACUCUCGGAGUCGGAUGGCCCCCAGAAGGAUCCUUCCACCUCCCUCUAAUCCGAAAAGUCAGAAAUAUUGUCUUCCAGCCGGGGCCACAUGGUCAUCCAGAUCAACAGCCAUAUAUUCUCACUUGGCAGAACCUCUGUGAAUCUCCCCCUUCAUGGGUGAAACCUUUUCUUGUACCUGCCUCCACCUCUACCCCCACCAUUCUGUCCCUCAAACCCUCCUCUCCUUCUCUUCCUCCCCCUCUUCCCUCCAUCCUCCCUGAAUCUCAGGAUCUAACCUUACUAGAUUCCCCUCCUCCACCCCCAUAUCCCUUGCCCCUCAGCUCCCAACGUCCUAUAGACAAUUCCCCUGAAGCAGAUCCGAUCCCUUUGGUAGAGGAAACUGCUCCAGAUGACUCCCUUGCGGUAAGCCCAACUCCUCCUCCAUCGGAGGAAAUUGGGCCAGCAGGGGGAACCGGCCGACGGCGAAUAAUUAAGAAUCCUGAUGCUCCAGUAAUGCUCCCCCUCCGCCCCUACAGGCCAAUGAUUGAUGAUGGACAAGGGGGAGAAAUACAAGUUUACCAAUAUUGGCCCUUCUCCUCUUCUGAUCUAUAUAACUGGAAAAAUAAUAAUCCCCCUUUUUCUAAAGAUCCC